GGGGCACGGGAGCUGGGAACAGCUCAGUCACUCCAGUGGCUUGCACAUGUGGCACCAGGGAAGAGGGGCCUGCUGGCUUGUGUGGACAAGGAGGAGGGGCCUGUGGUUCUGCGGGCGGGAGCAGGGAGUACACGGGGAGCCACUCUCCCUCCUUCCCUCCCUCCUCUCACUGAUUACCCUCAGCUGCGGGUCAAUCUCACUGUAAAAGACGGCCCUGCCCCCUCCAUGGCCUGGGGAGGCUGAGGGGUUUCAUAAAAGGGUCUGCUCAUUUGUGACUUUAAUCCUCAGCUGUGAUUUUAUCUCCGCGCGAGAAAGCUCUUUCUGUUCAUCGAUCCCACGCAGGCAUUAGCUGGAGAGCCUCAGCUAUUAGCUCCUGAUGGCACCAAAGUUAUCCAUUGACCCUGGCUCUUGGCCACAGCACAGGGGCUGGGGGCUGCGAGACAAGUGUGGGCUGCACUGGUGGUUCCGAGAGCUGGCGAUCCUUCAUAUUCAGGAACACUGCAAGCUGCGACCAACGCUGACUGCCUGGAAUCAGCCAGCGUGGGAACCUGGACACUGCAGAAACUAGCAAACCACACAGCUGAGUGCCGCCCUUCUCCUUCCCAGAGGAGCAGCUUCCCAGCCCCGCACCGUGUUUACCCUGCGUGGUCACUGGGUUGCCGCUGGCAGACAAGGCCCUGCCUCCCCUUUGAGCACACAAGCCAUCGAGGCUCUCUUCUCAGGAGCCCCAAAUGGUCUCCCGCCACUAUGGAUCCCUGGACUUCUCUCCUGGAAGCUCCAGGGUGGCGGCUGCCUGGCCUUCAGAGACACCCACUGCCUCAGACCAGGCAGCCUGACUUGGAGACCCUUCCCCAUAGGAGCCGGGUUCCCCUUCAGCCUGCACAGCCCACCCUUCAGGCCUAGUGGGAAGCCCACCCUCUUUGGGGAAGUCCCCAGCAGCCUGGCAGGAGGCGUCUCUCCUCCCCGGGGCUCUUUCCUCGGGCUGUCCUGGGGCUCAGCUUUGUCUCUCACCUGGUGGUGUGGGCCUCGAGGGCCGGGCCUGUUGUGGGCCAGACCCUAC
rnacentral:lncRNA from 1 species